UGGACUCUGAAUCCAGUAACCCGAGUUCAAAUCUCGGUGGAACCUUGUAAUUAUUAUUAUUAUUUUUUAAUUUUCCUGCUGUUUCUUCUGAAAUUUUCCACCCGCACUUUCCACAAAUUUCUGGGCAACGAACAGAACGAUUACAAUGUUGAAAGUGGCAAAAGGAAGAGAGGAAUCGUGCAUGCAAGUUCUUCAUCAGAUUGUUUUCAUUUUCAGAAGAAGUGAAAGCUAAACAUCCCAACAUAAUGCUUACGCUCACCUAUACCAGGAAUGUAUUUUAAUAUUUUGUACUCACUGGUCGCAUAGUGGUUGGAGCCCUGUACUGAUGACUCUUGAUGAAGAAGAGGAAGAAAUGGUUGAAGUGGAGGAUCUUAUGCUUGAACCCGAGCCAGAGCCAAUUGUAGGAGAUCAAGAUAAUCUCAAGUUAAGUUUGUGGAGCCUUGAUGCCAUUCUAGUGCCUAUGGGACCUGUUGAGGCGACUCAUGCCUCCUAGACUCAAUGUGGCAGAGUUAUAUUUAAUCCUCUUCCAACCUCGAUGGUAUCUUUUCAUGCUUGUUAGUGUGGAGUAGAACUGCUAAUUUGGUUAACUUGAAGCUUUGCCUUGUCAUUUCAGCAUAAAUUUAUUAUUCCUUUUUCAGAAAAAAAUGGCUUUAAAUGUUGUUUAGAUAUGGGUGGUGUCUGGCUUUAGCUGGUGGAUAGUAAUCAGUAUUCCCAAAGUUGGCAAAGAUAUUGGCUCUUCUAAGGCAGUGUACUGCCUCUUCUAUUAGCUACUUGAUAGCUGUUCAGCGCUCGGGGAAGCAUGUUUCUUGCCUUCUUGAAUUAAAACCUUCGUAACAUGUCAUGUUCUUUUCGUUAGUGCCAACUUCAUUGUGGCCUGUGGGGCAGGUAAGGAGAUUCUUUGGAGACUUUGCGGCUAUGUGGUGUCAUCGCAUGAGAAACUUUCAGAACUAAGGUUCAUUUCGGGUUCCUCUUGAUCCAAGGUAAGAGCAAAGGACUACAUACUGUACUGGCAAAAAGUGCGGCAGGAUUUAUAGUUGCUGCUGCUGCUGUUGUGAUCUUUUACCUAUUUCAUAGAAGUUUGCAACAUAAUGAAUUGGAGAGAGCUUGAUUUUUGUUCUCAUUUAUUUGACUAGAGGAUUUAGUAAGCCUAGUGGUCUUCCUCCACUUCAUGUCCUAAUGCAGAUUUUCCGGAAGGCAUCAUGAAUUGCUCUUAGUCUGUCUACUUCUAUAUUCUUCCACUUUGACCCUAAAAACAUGGAAUCCAUCAAAAGUCAACGCACCUGAACUCAACCAUGAUUAGCUGUCUUCUUUUUUCCUUGCUGUUUUUCUACUGUUCUCAAGCUUGUUGUAGAAUUUACAUUUGGAAUAUUAAGGCUGUUUUCUUUUAA